rnacentral:lncRNA from 1 species
UUCCCAGUCCACCCCUCACUGCCCCCACCCCGACGACAUGUUUUCCCCAACUGGUCAGAAGUUCUUGUCUUACUGUCACAUGGUGUUAAAUUUUAGAAAAAGGAGACAUUACCGCUUGACAGACUACAACAGCUGAACAGCAACAGCUGGGAGGACACAGUUGCAGGCGUAACAUUCGGUCCCGGAGAAGGCAGCAACAGAUGCUUUCUGCAUUAGCACUGUGCUCCAUUUCUUCAGUCCUAUGCCCUUCCCAAAAUUGGCACUGCAAGGUAAGUUUAAAAGAGCUGUAAUUUAGGAAGGGCUGAGCAGCUGAAACUAUAAACAGUGACCAGGGAUUUGACCGCAGAUCCUACGUGACAGUUCCUCGCUGAAUUGUACAACUUCCUCGCUAGUUAAAGCCAGGAGACACAAAUCAACGUCUACAGUGGAACCACAGCACCAGAGAAAGAAAUGUCUUUAAAAUGUCAACUAUUAAAUAGUUAUACUGUCAAGAUGGCUCAUGGGAGGUGUUUGGCUGAAUACAGGGUCAUAGUUCCUCCCACUGUGUCUAUGGGCCUGUGACUUUACCUCUCUCGGGCUCAGUUUUUCAUCUUUAAAAUGGGAAUAACAACUACCAUUAACUCUUGGAUAUCUGAGGAUUAAAUUAUACAAGAUCAAAGUAACCAGUUAGUGUAGUGCCAGGUAGAUUGUUAAUAAGUUUCAUUUUUAUUCCUUAUUUCAACACCCCCACCCCUAUCUUUGUUAAAACCUACAACGGGCAGUUGGAAAGGAAGAGAGAAGGCCAGUACUGAUUCGAUUGUUCUUUUAGCACUGAGGUUUCCACUGAUACUUCUAAGGCCUGUAGCCAGACCCAGAGGGAAGAGGGAGGUUAUCGUUUCUGGAGAGCAGGCACCGAACAUCCUGAGGCUUGGAAUGGGGUCUCCAUUCGUUUUUAUCAAAUCGUUUUUCAUAAACAAGGUCAACAUGAGUUUUCAUUUACAGACAUGAUACCUUAAAGGCAUCUCCAAAUGAGCAGGUCAGCCUUCUCAUCGAGCCCAGAGGAGAGCUGGACUCUCAGCCCAGGAUGUUCACAAAGCAAAGCAUGAGCAACAUCGCAGGGCCUGCUGUCCUGGUGGGACUGAGAUGGAGAGCCUUACAAGAAGGAUGAAAAGCAACUCAUCAAUUUCCGCAUAAAGGCACAACUGUGCCCAGGCUAGUCAGUUCACAGACCUGCUAGAAGCCCGUGAUGCUGCCUGUAAGCUUCAACACAGAGUUUUCUACUGAUUGCAGCUGCAGGCCUUCUGAAGAAGGGGAUGAAAACAGCCACGCAUAUCGGAGAUGCCAUUUCCUGUUAACUUUGAUGGUCUUGACAUACAAGAAAAUGUGCCGGAUCAGUCACACACUCAGAAGAAAGCUGUGGGGGGAGAUAAACACACCUGUACCUGAUAAUUGCUGACAACGUUCCAUGAAGCAGAAUGGUGUGUUUGGGAACAAAGUGUACCUCAUCGAAAAUCAGGGUUAACCAGCAACAUCUCUGAGUUGAACGGAGGUUCCGACGCGCGCACGCACACACACACACUCACACACACGCGCACACACACACACACACACAACUUCCAUCUUAGUCCGAUCUCUGUGAAUUGAUGCCAUUUAAUCAGAAAGGUGCUUCGGCUCUAGGACACUUCAUUUUAAUUCUGAAUGGGCUACAACAUUAAAACCUCCCACGUCCUGUCCCUCCUUGGACACUCUCUUUCCAAUGUCAGCCAAGUCAAUUGCCACGAAUUUUAAUCCUCUCCACACCACUGCCUUGUCUUUCCUACCCAACAAAAGUCACUGUUAGUUCAGAAAAAGAAUCCCAUAUCCAGGAACAAUUAGAGAAGCAAUCAAUAGUUUUAUGAAUCAGGAAUGCUCCCCCCCCCCCCCCGCAAAUUCCCCAGGAAUUAUCAAAAUAUGCAAAGAAAUUCAGUGAAGGCUAAUAAAGGUGACCCAAGAAGGCAUUAUUGCCACUGAAUGGACUUGUGCUCAUUACUGUUCCAGAAAGUACAGAUCAAUGCCACAAAGAAGAUGAUGCCACAAAACAAACUGCAUUCUGUUAAUGACUGUUACAGAAAUCUCCAUACAAAGAAAUCUAAGUGGGAUAUUUCUAAUAUGCUCACUACCAUGAUGACAAAACCAAGGUAUGCUUUUCGUCUAUGAAUUCUGACACCUUAAAUACAGAAUGAUCGUCCCCACGUAACACUCUUCCUUGUGCAUUUUACUUUCUUUCCAAGAACCUGCGUGUUUCCAUGGCUGUGCUCAAUGAACUUUUUAUCAGCCACAUUUUCACCUAAUUAACCCCCCUGAUUACAAUAAUUAGUAUUGAUUCACUCUUUGAAUGACUUCCUCGGUCUUCUAGCACAAUCUGCACUUGCUACAAAGUUCUAGAUAUGAAUACUAAUCAAAUGCUCACUUUCGUUUUUCAGCCCCAAAAGGAGAUUUUUGCAAAUGUAUACCCUCCUAUUUUAAAAAAAGCAAAACUGUCUGGUUUCAUUUUAACAAAUCAAGGAAUAUUCAUACACAGGGGGUUAGAGAUCUCAGUCUGUGGUCUGCUGAACACAUCUAUGUGAAUAUUCCCAAAGCUCAUGGCAGAAGGGCUUAGGGUGCAAUAUUUACUUUCUGUGGAAAGAAGUCAUUUUCCCAGUUUGAAUCUUUUGCUAUUCAUUUUUCUGCAUGUCUGGGCUUAGAAUUAAACUUUCCUCCAACAUUUGUUAAAGUCACUACCUUGAGGAAUCAUUACAUAUAGAGGCUUAUGGAAGGAUACAGAUUACGUAUCCUGUUCCUGUUGUGGAAAUAGAUGUAGACAAGUUUGCCAGCUUCGGGCAACCUCACACCGUCCCUAUCAGGUGAAAGGAAAAGACAUAUGUAUGUCGGAUGC